rnacentral:lncRNA from 1 species
UUCCCUUGUAAUUAACUCUUUGUUUUUCUCUUGCUGCCUUUAGAAUCUUCUCCUUAUCUUUAAAAUUUCCCAUUUUUGUUAUAAUAUGUUUUGGCAUUAGUCUGUUUAGGUUUAUCUUGUUUGGGACCUCUGUCCUUCCUAUAUCUAGAUAUCUGUUUCUAUCUUUAGAUUUGGAAAUUUUUCAGCCAUAGUUUCUUCAAAUAUAUUUUCAAUCCCCUUUUCUCUUUCUUCUCCUGGAGUCCCUAUUAUGCAUAGAUUGUCACACUGUAUUAUCCCAUAGAUCUUUUAUUUUCAUAUUUUUUCAUUUGGCUUUGUACCUGCUGCCCUGAUUGGGUGAUUUCCAUUAUUCUAUCUUCCAAGUAAUUUAUUUGUUACUAUACACCAUUCAUUAUGCUAUAUGUUGCCUUUAGCUUAGCUAUUGUCUCAGCAAAUGAAUUUUCGAUUUCCUUGGCGCCUUCUUAUAGUUUCUAGUUCCUUUUUACAUUUAUCUGCAUUUCUGUUGAUAGCCUUUCUUAAAACCUUCAGUAUUUUCAUUAUCUCCUUUUCAACUCUGUGUCUAUUAGACUGAAGAGGUCUCUUUUAUUGUUAUCUACUUUAGGGGGAUUUUUCUGUUCUUUUAACUGGGAAUGGUUUCUCUGCUUCUCUGUUUUGCUUAUAUUUCUCUUACUCUGUGAGUUUAGGAGAAACCAUUAUCUACUGUAGUUUUGGAGGGCUAUUUGUUUGCAGGAGUAUCCUGGGUAGCUUGUGUAGGAUUUUACUGGUCUGUGUGUGUGUGUGUCUGUGUGUGUGUGCGUGCGUGCACGCAUGCUGCUUUUAGUAUGGAUACUGUUUUUCCUCAGCAUGUGCUAGGCAUAAUCCCCUUGAAAGAUAUGGCAGCCUAUACAUGUUACCUUGGCCUGCAAGGGUGGGGGAGGUGACCAGUGCCUGCUUGUGGAUCUCUCAGUGUUGAUGGCAGCCCAUGCCCACCUUUUGAGCCAGGAUGACUGCAGCAGCUCGCCCUCAUCUCUAGAGCUCAUGUAGAUGGUGUCCUGUUGCCUGAGAGCACAGGCACAGGGAAAGAAAAUCCUAAGGUGAUCCCACACCACCCCUUGAGUGCCCCCCUCCCCUCAUCAAUGAUCCCUUGCCUUUCUGGCAGGCCCAGGCUUCUUCCAGUUACACCCUCGGUUGUGGCUGCUCCACACUCCAGCCUCUUUGAGUUCUCUCCAGGCAGCCAACCCUUAUCCUCUCUGCAGUCUGACCUCUGAAACCCAAGCUUCAGCCACCCAGCCCCAAGCCAUACCAGCAGAGGACCAUUUCAGGUUGGGGAAUGCAGGGCAGUGGCAGUGUCCAUCUGUGCUGAUCUCUCUCCAUUUUGCCCUCCACAAAGUUGUUGCCACACUCUAAGUCACUAAAGCUCCCCCUCCUUCCUGGCUGAUUUCCCUGCCAGUGAGGGGACUUCCAGGUGCUGUGGGAGCCUUUCCUCUUUCACAGCUCCCUCCCAGGGGCACAGGUUCUGUCUGAUUCCUUUCUCUUCUUUUUUAAUUUCUUUUUUCUUUUGUCCUACUUGGUUAGAUGGAGAUUUUCUUGCCCUUUCAGAAGUCUGAGAUCUUCUGCCAAUAUGCAGUAGAUAUUUUGUGAGAAUUUUUCCAGAUGUAGACGUAUUUUUGAUGUAUUUGUGGGAGGUGAGGAGGUGAGCUCUAUGUUCUAUUCCUCUGCUAUCUUGAUCCAUCUCCAUAUGUGUGUUUUAAUUUGAGCAAAUCAACAUCAGAAGCUAUUUUGAGACAAUGUAGAAAUUUUGCCAUCAAUUGGAUAGUAGAAGACAUUAAGAAAUUAUGAUUAAUUUAAUUAGGUAUUUUAAGGUACCAUAGUUUUAAAAAAAUGAUUGUCUUUUAACAACACAUAUUGAUGGAUUUCAAGUGAACUUACAUGAUUUCUGAGAUAAAAAAAUUUUAGAGAAAAAGUAAAGUAAAAUAAAAAGUGAAGUGGAAUAGCUAAAUCAAAAUUUGUAAAGUUGUUGAAACUAGAUUAUGUGUAAUUAACGUGUAGGGUAUUUAUACUAUUUUUUCUUUUUGUGCAUAUUUAAAACGUCUGUCAUAAAGAAUUAAUUUUUUAUAAAAGAAAAAUAAAAUGAUAUUGUUAGCUUGUAAAUGUACUCUUUUUGCUUCAGUAUAAUUUCUACUGUACUAUAAAUUAAUGUACUUUGUUCUUCCUCAUUGUGCAUUGUUUACUUUAAACUGAGAAAUUUUUCAAAAUUGAUACUUAUUUUCUGGCUACUUUUUAUAGACAUCUUUAUCACUUUUAGAGAGGACCUAAAUUAUCCUAUUUUGUAAAAGAAACAGAAAUGUUUGGAACUUAAUGGGCAAAAUCAUGGCAGUUGUCAAAAACACCUAUUUUUGAACAUUAAAUGAUGGUCAGUCAGUGACAAUUCCCUGCAGGAAGCAGAACCAAGGAUUGUCUUUCCUGUCUUCUUCUUGCCUUCCCAUCUCUCUUUAAUGUCCUCUAUUGAAAGAGUCUAACUGGGAGUCAUGUGGUGGAGAAAUAAAGUUUGGAGUCCUGGCCCCAGCUUCAUAUAGCUGCAUAUAACUGAGUAAAUUUGGGGCUGAGACAUAGUAACAAUAACAAUAAGAAUCCUAGCUGUCAUUUUAUGUGCUUAAGUUUGGUAAUUUUUUGUUUAUAGUCAAAAGUGUAAACUGAAUAGAAAAAUGACUAAUAAACUAGACUGUUUUAAAGCAGCCAAAUCCUGGCUCUUACCUGCGGAAAUAUGGGUAAAGUACUGAAACUCUCCAGGCCAUAGUCUUUUUUUUUUUUUUUUUUUUUUUUUGUCUUUUUGCCAUUUCUUGGGCCGCUCCCGCGGCAUAUGGAGGUUCCCAGGCUAGGGGUCCAAUCAGAGCUGUAGCUGCCAGCCUAUGCCAGAGCCACAGCAACGUGGGAUCCGAGCCGCGUCUGCAACCUACACCACAGCUCACGGCAACGCAGGAUCGUUAACCCACUGAGCAAGGGCAGGGAUCGAACCCACAACCUCAUGGUUCCUAGUCGGAUUCGUUAACCACUGCGCCACGACGGGAACUCCCAGGCCAUAGUCUUUUUAUUCAUAACAUGGAGCUAAUAAUCACAUAUACUUCAUAAUGUUGUUGUGAAGAAAAGAUAAAAUGUAAAAUGAGAAGCCUGUGUAAGUAGGGCCUUGUGAAUAAAUGUUAACUGCUAUGAUUCUUUUGUAAUUAUCAUCUUGCAAUCAUUAUCAUCAUUGGGAUGUCUAAUUUUAACUUAAAAAUACAGCAAAAAUUUAAGUGAAAACAGCAUGAAUAUUUUGAUAAUUUAGUAAUUAAUCUGAGUAUUUUUAAUAUCAUCAUUCAUACAUUCAUGCUAUAAGUUAUCACCUUUAAGGAUAUUGCAUUUAACAUUCAAAAUAAUACUGAGUAGCAAAAAUGAUUAAUGUCGUCAGCCUGACCUAACCUUAUAUAGCCUGGAAAAUCUGGAUAUACAUAAGAUAUUUUUUUUCCUUUGGAGGUAAGGAGAUUCAUUUGUUCAGCCCAGUAUGUCUAGAUUUGAUGGCCAUAUAUCUACUGCAAAUGUUAUUUCAUUUGUUAUGUUUAAGGCUAAUCAAGCAUCCUUCAAGAGAUGCACUUGAGAUGGAGAAGGUGAUCACAUUAAAUUGUCCUCAUAUUAAUGUUGGAAUUUACAAAAGAAUUCUUAUGAUGUGUCACUGAAUAAUGAUAGUUUACAUAGUCCUAAAGAUUAAACAUCAAUUGAGGAACCAGAUAAUUACAGUGAAGCAUAAGUCAAAGUGCUGAGAAGUGCCUCUCUGAACAGAUUAUUGUUUCAAGGAUGAUGCACAGCUAUUCAUUGUUUUGUCUUCACACAGAGUAUAAAGCCACCCCAAGAUUGUUUAUUAGUAUGGGAUAUUUAUGUUGGUUUUUAACACCAUUAUUGUUUAUUAAGAUGGGAUAUUGAUGUUGGUUUUGUUUUUGGUCUUAUUACUUUCAAUGAUUUUAUUUUCCGAGAGAACGUAAACCCAUCAUAAAGCAAGUUCAUCUAAAAAUUUUAUUCUAAAAUUCGUGAUGACUUAAAUUUCAGACCUGCUUCAAGUUCUGUAUAUCUAGUGAGGCUCCUGAGCCUUACUGGACAGUUAAAAUACUUUUAGUAUAAAGUGACUUUUAUGUUAAAUGGAUAAAGAAUAUUCCAGUGAAACAAGUGACUUUUUAAACUCAAAUUGUGUAAGUCACAAGAUAAACUACACAAUUUUUUUAAGCCUACUGUGUAUUUAGCAUAUCUAACAAUACUUAUUCUGAAGCAAAGGGCCUUGUUUUUUUUUCAUGUCACAGCCCUAUCAAGCCCACGUACAAACACAUGUUAUGCUGCAGCCAGAGUGACCUGAUCAUACUCCCUCAGCACUCCUUUGUCUCUGUUGCUCCUACUUGCUCUUUACAAUUUACUUCAUUUUUCAAUCCUGUGACCACUCUGUACAUGUUACCUCUUUGUCCUUGAUGCCGUCUAAGUAUUUCUUUACAUAUGUAAACUUUAACUUCCUUGACUAGCUAUAUCACAAGACUAUAAAUACUUGCAAGGCAGGAAUUUGUUGUUCUGGUUUUCUUUUAAAUUAUUAAAAGAAUGGAGGCCAGUAUAUAAUAAGUGUUUGAUAAAUAAUUGAAUGAUCGUGUUUGUGAAAUAGAGGCAAAGAGUAAAGUUUUCCUCAAAUAGAUUUUCUUCUCUUUAUUAAAACAUGAAGGAAUUUAUCACUUUCUACAUUGAGGUGUUAUUAUUGAUUUAUUUUCUGUGCAUUUAAAGAAAUAAAAUAACCUAAUAUACAGAAGCCAGCUCUUCCUUUUUGAACUAACAGAUUAGUAGCAGCAGCCCUAGGUCAUCUAAAAGGCAAGCUUUUAUCUUUUCUAAUGGAGAUGCUAUUUGUUUAUAAGAGUUAUAAGAAUCUUCUCAAAAUAGUUUUCAGUUUGGAAAGAGUUUAAAAUUUUGCAAUAUUAUACUGAUGUAAAUUCUGUCAAUUACUUCUAGCCAGUGUCAACUGAAAAGAAAAAUGCACAACCUAAAAGUUGAGAAUUAUGUUUUAUUUGACAGUUACUGAGGACUUAAAGCUUAGAGACACACUCUCACAUAGCUUUGAAGAACUGUUCUGAAGAGGUAAGGGAAGAGUCAGGAUAUCAGGAGUU